GUGUUUGAUGGCAAGGUUGUUCACAGAUUUCUGGAUAUGUGCACAACAAGUGGGCAACGCUGUGGCACGGCCGAAGUCAUUUUUCAGAAAAUCAACGACGUCCUCCAGAAACACUCCAUGGGGUAAUUGUGUCUCUAUUGACAAUGCCCCAGUUAAUACAGGGGCAAAGAACUCCGUUGCCUCAAGGAUACUUGCAGAGAAUCCCAGUGUCUACAUCCAUGGGUGUCCAUGCCAUAUUCUACAUAAUACGGCAAAACAUGCUGGACGGGGUUUUUUGGAAGUGGCUGGAUUUGACCCUGAAGAUCUGGCAGUGGAUGUUGGGCACUGGUUUAGAGGCAGUACAAACCGUAAAGGUUACCUAACAGAAUUCUGUGAGUUGCAUGAAUCCGAGUAUAUGGAGAUACUUCAGCAUAUAUCCAUUCGGUGGCUGAGCCUGGAACGCUGCUUGACUCGAAUUUUACAGCAGUACGCACCACUCACCAGCUAUUUCAAGU